GCCCCUGUAGCUCAGUGGACAGAGCGCCCGGCUACGAACCGGGAGGUCGGACGUUCGAACCGUUCCAGGGGUA
rnacentral:tRNA from 1 species